rnacentral:rRNA from 1 species
UACGUAGGGCGCAAGCGUUGUCCGGAUUUACUGGGCGUAAAGGGCGCGUAGGCGGCCACCGCAAGUCAGUUGUGAAAUCUCUGGGCUUAACCCAGAACGGUCAGCCGAUACUGCGGGGCUAGAGUGCAGAAGGGGCAACUGGAAUUCUUGGUGUAGCGGUGAAAUGCGUAGAUAUCAAGAGGAACACCUGAGGUGAAGACGGGUUGCUAGGCUGACACUGACGCUGAGGCGCGAAAGCCAGGGGAGCAAACAGG